UACGGAGGGUGCAAACGUUGCUCGGAAUCAUUGGGCGUAAAGCGUACGUAGGCGGUCCAGCAAGUCGGGUGUGAAAGCCCUGGGCUUAACCGAGGAAGUGCAAACGAAACUACUGGACUUGAGUACUGAAGAGGGUCGCGGAAUUCCCGGUGUAGAGGUGAAAUUCGUAGAUAUCGGGAGGAACACCAGUGGCGAAGGCGACUUCCUGGCCUGUUCUUGACGCUGAGGCGCGAAAGCUGGGGGAGCAAACGGG
rnacentral:rRNA from 1 species